GAUUAUUUGAAAUAACAGCUUUGUACAAUAGUAUCCUUUGUAAAAGUUUGGUAAAUUGGCUCGUCAAAUUUCUUCAGAAGUUUGCCAAUGCAUUGCAAUUAAAACUGUCAUAUCAUUAAUGUCUGUUAUCCGGUCAAAUUAAGAAUUCUUCAUAAUUAGAUAGUAAAACUAAAAGAAAGCAAUCUAUGUUGCUUUAUUGUCUUAAGUAGACCUAAAUAUUCUACGUCUGAUUUUUGAGAUAUUGUUUUAAUUCGUCUCUUUUGGAAUAGAUUCCAUUCUAUUGAUGUUAUUUUUAUAAUCAAUCUUUUAUCUAAGCACUACUUUUAUGCUAUUGUCAGAAUGUGAAGGAUACCCAUUUCGAUAUCUUAUAAUCGUUGAUUCUUUGCUUGGAGUUAUCAUUUCGUUGUUUCAGACUUUCAACUUAACAAUAUUACCACCAAAAAAUAUGUCACAGGAUAUCAGUAUUAAAAUCCUCAAAUCCUUUCUUACAAAUGACAUCACAGUCAAAGUGUGUCAUCAAGUCAGGUCUAACAUUUAGAUUUUCUUAGCGCUUUUAUUCCCAAUGGUUAAAAAAGUAAUCAAUAAUGGAAUCAUCCAUUCUAAACAAAAAA
rnacentral:lncRNA from 1 species